GGCAAGGCGGGACGUGUGGUGGCGCUAGGCUCUUCUCACAGGCCUCCACCACCCGGUCGUCUACUUUUUUUUUUGGACUUAGUGAAGUGGCCGGGCUGAGUGCCGGCACAAGUGGACUGGCAUGGCAGAAUGUGGCCUGCAGCCGGAAUAGGUUGAAGGCCUUAUCGCGUCUGCUGGUGACUAGGGACAAGGGGAGGAUAACUGUAAGGCAAGUGAUGGAACUAGCGCCUUGGUGUGAGGGGGGGUGAGCGCCCCCUUCCUGCCCCUCCUCUCACGCCUGGGGCGGGGGCUGCUAGCCAUCACCAGAGCGGUUAUUGUGGUGUUUCUUGU